rnacentral:rRNA from 1 species
UACGAAGGGGGCUAGCGUUGCUCGGAAUCACUGGGCGUAAAGCGCACGUAGGCGGAUUGUUAAGUCAGGGGUGAAAUCCUGGAGCUCAACUCCAGAACUGCCUUUGAUACUGGCGAUCUUGAGUCCGGGAGAGGUGAGUGGAACUGCGAGUGUAGAGGUGAAAUUCGUAGAUAUUCGCAAGAACACCAGUGGCGAAGGCGGACUCACUGGCCCGGUACUGACGCUGAGGUGCGGAAAGCGUGGGGAGCAAAGCGGGG